UUACAACGGCAGCAAAGGUGAAUGGAGGGGGAGGGGGAGGGGGCAAAGGCACCGGCGGGAAGCCCGACUACCUCGCCGUCGUCCAUCGAUCUAAAGGUCCUUAAGAGAGAAUAUACAAGGAGUUAGGGAGAAUCUGCACGAAGAAGAUGAAGAUGAUGGCCAACUCUGAUUCCCGUGGUACAUAUCCAUGGAGACAAGUGGGAAUAUGUAACUGUGUGGAAAUCAACAAUUAGGCUGAGCUUGUGUGUGUGUAUUAUAAGUUCGAUCUGUAAAUAGAAAGAGAGAAGGCCUUGUGAGUAGUAAUAUGGAUGUGGAAAAUAUCUGAUAUUUGUUGAUGGUGAAGGAACCUUCGCAAGUGUUCGUUAUAUAUUCAUCCUUCCCAUAUGACAAUGGGGCCUAACUCUUCUUCUGCCUUUUUAUCCACAGUCCAGCUUUGAGAUGUCCUUUUUAAAAGGUUCUUCUUAUGACUACUAGGGAGCGGCCUGCAUCAUCCGGCCGAGCGAUGUGCCAAUGCACUUGCAUUUCCUCGGGCACACCACGUGGAACCACACCAUCCAAGUUCUAUUCUCUUUUUCUUCCCUCUGGUUAUGCCUAAGUAGAUAUUGUACAAGCAGAUUGUUGACUGAGACGCGCUAAUAUAUGGGCGCCUUUCCCUUUUUUUUUUUUUUUUUCAACGAUGUGACGAAGUGGGUGUUGACUGAUUGUAAUAUUUGUAUUUCUUUU